AUGGAGUCUGUGCUAUGCUGGGUUUUCCUUUUCGCUAUUUUAAAAGGUGUCCAGGGUGAGGAGCAGCUGGUGGAGUCUGGGGAAGACCCGGUGAAGCCUGGGGGGGUCCAUGAGACUCUCCUGUGUGGCCUCUGGAUUCGCCUUCAGUAGCUAUGCCAUGAGCUGGGUCCGCCAGGCUCCAGGGAAGGAGCUACAGUGGAUUGCAGAAAUUAGCGGUAGUGGAAGUAGCACAUACUACGCAGAUGCUGUGAAGGGCCAAUUCACCAUUUCCAGAGACAACGCCAAGAACACGCUGUAUCUGCAGAUGAACAGCCUGAGAGCCGAGGACACGGCCGUGUAUUAAUGUGCAAGGGACUGA